rnacentral:rRNA from 1 species
UCGCAGGGUUGUACGAAACCCGAAGGCGCAACAAAAGUGAAUGAUCUUCGGAUCUAGGUGGGAUCCCGAAGCCACAUUUGGCGACGGGCGCACCACCGGCCUGUCUCGGCCGCGACGUCGGCGAGGCGGAGCAAGAGCGUACGCGUUGGGACCCGAAAGAUGGUGAACUAUGCCUGAGCAGGAUGAAGCCAGAAGAAAUUCUG